rnacentral:tRNA from 1 species
GCUUCUAGUAAAUAUAUUACAUAGCACUGUCAGCGCUAAAUAAAAGACUGUGUCUUUGAAACCCA